CGAGCUACUAAUGGUCACAAAUCAGAAUAGUACAAUGUUUCUGCUGUUUUCUGAAGCUACAUUAGAAAGCCAGAGGUGUUUACUUGAAGUUCUGCCAUGUUAAUGUUUAUGUGCUUGCUUUAAAAUGCUGUAGUUCUUUAACUAAUCAUGCAUUGUUAACCUCUUGGAAAAGGCAGCGCUUCAGACUACGGUGUUUGCACAGCAGAUUGUAAAAUUGUGUCUCAGAGCUCCAAGGGGGCUAGAACUGUCACGAAUACUUCUAAUAAUAUUGGAAGAAAAUUAAUAGAAGCUCAAGUCCUUGAGCAGGAAUCAGAAUCACACAGCACGGCAUUACGCAGCCUCUGAAAUUUGAGGAACUGCUGUACAACAUUUCCCAUGUUCAGUUGAGUAGCCAUGUUUUAUCCUCCAGUAAAUGUUUAUUCGGCUGAUCUUACAUUUGGGAAAACUACGGAAUUAUUCAAGGCCAAAUUGCCAGUCCUGCCGAGAUCAUUCAGAGUGCUCUUGAUGUGGUUGUUCCUUGAACCAUCUGCUGAAAGACUAGAGGAGUGGCAGACAAAACAGUGGCUGAAGAAAGCUUUACUAAAUUGUUUUCAUUUCCACCAAAAGGACUGAGGAGCACUGUGAGACUGACUGUUCUUUGUGCUGAACUCAAGAGACAGCAAACUCAAUACUGGAGACAUUGCUGAGUGCCUUGCAAUCGUUAAUAGUUUCCAUUUAACUUACUGUUGAUUACAGAGUAGGUUCUGGACUGAAACCAGAAGCAGGCUGGAAUUUUUAAUCCUGAACUUGGGUGCCUGAAACAGCAGAAGACUGAAUGAUCAGAUAUUCUUUAAUAUUCAGUUAGCUUUUUUUUUGUUUGUUUAUUUUUUAUUCUCUGAUUCCCAUAGACCC
ensembl:lncRNA